GGGCAGAUACCCAAGUGGCCAACGGGGGAAGACUGUAAAUCUUCUGGCUUUUGCCUUCACUGGUUCGAAUCCAGUUCUGCCCA
rnacentral:tRNA from 1 species